GACUCUUGGUAAUAGAUAUCUCGUCUCUCGCAUCGAUGAAGAACGUAGCAAAAUACGAUACUUGGUGUUAAUUAUAGAAUCCCGUGAACCCUAGAGUAUUUGAACACAAGUUGCGCCCGGAGCCAUCAAUCCGAGGGCACAUCUUCCUGGGCGUCA